rnacentral:rRNA from 1 species
AUUGAACGCUAGCGGCAAGCCUAACACAUGCAAGUCGAACGAGUGGCGGACGGGUGAGUAAUGUCUGGGAAACUGCCCGAUGGAGGGGGAUAACUACUGGAAACGGUAGCUAAUACCGCAUACCAUCGGAUGUGCCCAGAUGGGAUUAGCUAGUUGGUGGGGUAAAGGCUCACCUAGGCGACGAUCCCUAGCUGGUCUGAGAGGAUGACCAGCCACACUGGGACGGAGACACGGCCCAGACUCCUACGGGAGGCAGCAGUGGGGAAUAUUGCACAAUGGGCGCAAGCCUGAUGCAGCCAUGCCGCGUGUAUGAAGAAGGCCUUCGGGUUGUAAAGUACUUUCAGCGGGGAAGCGUUAUCCGCAGAAGAAGCACCGGCUAACUCCGUGCCAGCAGCCGCGGUAAUUC